rnacentral:rRNA from 1 species
UACGGGGGGGGCAAGCGUUGUUCGGAAUUACUGGGCGUAAAGGGCUCGUAGGCGGCCAACUAAGUCGGACGUGAAAUCCCUCGGCUUAACCGGGGAACUGCGUCCGAUACUGGAUGGCUUGAGUUCGGGAGAGGGAUGCGGAAUUCCAGGUGUAGCGGUGAAAUGCGUAGAUAUUGGGAGGAACACCAGUGGCGAAGGCGGCUCACUGGACCGGUACUGACGCUGAUGCGCGAAAGCGUGGGGAGCAAACGGG